CCAGCAGCCGCGGUAAUACAGAGGGUGCAAGCGUUAAUCGGAAUUACUGGGCGUAAAGGGAGCGUAGGUGGCUCUAUAAGUCAGAUGUGAAAUCCCCGGGCUUAACCUGGGAACUGCAUCUGAAACUGUAGAGCUAGAGUAUGUGAGAGGAAGGUAGAAUUCCAGGUGUAGCGGUGAAAUGCGUAGAGAUCUGGAGGAAUACCGAUGGCGAAGGCAGCCUUCUGGCAUAAUACUGACACUGAGGCUCGAAAGCGUGGGUAGCAAACAGGAUUAGAUACCCUGGUAGUCCACGCCGUAAACGAUGUCUACUAGUCGUUGGGUCCCUUGAGGACUUAGUGACGCAGCUAACGCAAUAAGUAGACCGCCUGGGGAGUACGGCCGCAAGGUUAAAACUCAAAUGAAUUGACGGGGGCCCGCACAAGCGGUGGAGCAUGUGGUUUAAUUCGAUGCAACGCGAAGAACCUUACCUGGUCUUGACAUAUCUAGAAUCCUGCAGAGAUGCGGGAGUGCCUUCGGGAAUUAGAAUACAGGUGCUGCAUGGCUGUCGUCAGCUCGUGUCGUGAGAUGUUGGGUUAAGUCCCGCAACGAGCGCAACCCUUGUCCUUAGUUACCAGCGGGUUAAGCCGGGAACUCUAAGGAUACUGCCAGUGACAAACUGGAGGAAGGCGGGGACGACGUCAAGUCAUCAUGGCCCUUACGACCAGGGCUACACACGUGCUACAAUGGUAGGUACAGAGGGCAGCUACACAGCGAUGUGAUGCGAAUCUCAAAAAGCCUAUCGUAGUCCAGAUUGGAGUCUGCAACUCGACUCCAUGAAGUAGGAAUCGCUAGUAAUCGCGGAUCAGAAUGCCGCGGUGAAUACGUUCCCGGGCCUUGUACACACCGCCCGUCACACCAUGGGAGUUGAUUGCACCAGAAGUGGAUAGCUUAACCUUCGGGGGAGC
rnacentral:rRNA from 1 species